UACGUAGGGGGCAAGCGUUGUCCGGAAUUAUUGGGCGUAAAGCGCGCGCAGGCGGCUUUGUAAGUCUUGUGUUUAAGUUCGGGGCUUAACCCCGUAUCGCAUAGGAAACUGCAAGGCUUGAGUGCAGAAGAGGAAAGUGGAAUUCCACGUGUAGCGGUGAAAUGCGUAGAGAUGUGGAGGAACACCAGUGGCGAAGGCGACUUUCUGGGCUAACACUGACGCUCAUGCACGAAAGCGUGGGGAGCAAACAGG
rnacentral:rRNA from 1 species